UGAAGUGAUUGUAGGGCACAAUCACGUUAAUCUAAAGAAAGCCCAAUUUAUU
rnacentral:ncRNA from 1 species